GCAGCUGGCUAAGCGCUAGCCCGGCCUGUGGCGAGUCUGCAGAGCUCGCCCGGAAGUAGCGUUGCGCGCGCAGAGGAUGGGCGCUGAGCAGCACACAGCCCGCGGCGGGGUCUCAGGAUCCGCGGCGCUGCCCGGGGCCGGGGGAAGGAAGCCAGCCGAGGAGACGCACGUGCCCUGAGUCCGGGAGCGGGGAGCCUCUUCAUCUCUCCAUCCUCCCUCCGCGCGCGCCCUCAGCCGUCCUCGUCCGCUCACCAUGCACCUCCCCUCCAAGAAAGGGCCACAUGCGUGCCAGGGACGCGAGCCCCGGCCACAGGGACAUAGCAGCCUAGAAGGUAUACCAGGAACACUUAAUCAACAUCCUGCAUGGUUCCAGCAAAGACAUUAAGACAGUUGGGACUGUUGGUGAGGACAGAUGAUCUUCACAAACCCUCUGACUCUUAAGAACCUGGGAGACCUGCUGGAGUUUACCCCACAUUCCCUUAAUUAAAAAGCCAUUAAAAUAGUCAACUUUGCUGGGCACGGUGGCUCGCGUCUGUAAUUCCAGCAAUUUGGGAGGUCAAGGCAGGAGGAUUGCUUGAGCCCAAGAGUUAAGACCAGCCUGGGCAACAUGGUGAGAGCCCAUCUCUACAAAAAAUUCAAAAAAUUAGCAAGGCAUGGGACCACACCUGUGGUCCCAGCUACUUGGGAGGCUGAGGUUGCAGUAAGCCGAGACUGAGCCACUGCACUCCAACCUGGGCAACAGAGUGAGACCCUGUCUCAAUAAUAAUAAUAAUCCCUUUAGCAGGCUUGUGCCUGAGUUAUUUAAUGUAAGGGUAAAAAGUCUUCUUUAUAAUAAAUUCCCUAUACCUUUUAGGUUUACUUUUUUUUUUUUUUUGAGACAGAGUUUUGCUCUUGUCGCCCAGGCUGGAGUACAGUGGCAUGAUUUCGGCUCACUGCAACCUCUGCCUCCCAGGUUCAAGCCAUUCUCCUGCCUCAGCCUCCUAAGUAGCUGGGAUUAUUGGCAUGUGUCACCAUGCCUGGCAAAUUUUUUCUUUUGAGACAGUCCUGCUCUGUCGCCCAGGCUGGAGUGCAGUGGUGUGAUCUUGGCUCACCACAAGCUCCGCCUCCUGGGUUCAUGCCAUUCUCCUGCCCCAGCCUCCCGAGUAGCUGGUACUACAGGCGCCUGCCACCGUGCCCAGCUAAUUUUUUUUUUUUUUUUGUAUUUUUAGUAGAGAUGGAGUUUCACCGUGUUAGCCAGGAUGGUCUUGAUCUCCUGACCUCGUGAUCCUCCCGCCUUGGCCUCCCAAAGUGCUGGGAUUACAGGCGUGAGCCACCGAGCCCGGCCGAUUUUUUUGUAUUUUUACUAGAGACAGGGUUUCACCACGUUGGCCAGGCUGGUCUCACCACGUUGGCCAGGCUGGUCUCGAACUCCUGACCUCAGCUGAUCCACCCACCUCAGCCUCCCAAAGUGCUGGGAUUACAGGCGUGAGCCACCGCGCCCGGCCUAGGUUUACUUUUCAUCCAUCCAAACUCUCAUUCUUAAUAUUCCUGUUAACAUUUAACAAGGGAGAUGUGAUUUAUCAGAAGGAAAACUGAAAUUGAAGCCACAAGUAAAACAAGAAAGCACUCGUGGACUCCAGGUGACAGAGCUUGAGCUGAAGGCCAAGUCACAGUUCUGCUUUCUAAGAAUUAUAUGCAUGACUCUUGGAAGAAAAAUGCUAAUUUGUAAAAAGUUCCUAGUUAAAAGAUAUACUGGGUUUUCCCCCUUGAGUAUAUUAUCAAAUUCUGGCAAACAAUAAAUAAAUAAUACAGCUUUUUACUAAAAAUGCCACAAAGUAAGCUAUUCUCACCCAAAGCGUCCAGCUUAACUAAGGUUUUAUUUAAAUGUACUUUUCUUUUUAUUUUUAUACAGGUGAUAGAGAACAAAAUUUAUGAACCUACGUACGGGAGGGACUGAUGACAAAAAAAAUUGGCAAAAACCCCAUUCGCACAGUUUUCAAUUAUUAUUUUUUUUUUUUUAGAGAUGGGGUCUCACUGUGUUGCCCAGGCUAGUCUCAAACUUCAGCUCAAGUGAUUCUCCUGCCUCUCAGCCUAUCAAAGUGCUAGGAUUACUGGUAUAAGCCACCAUGCUUGGCCCCUAAUUAGCACUUAAAAAAAAAUUUUUUUUUUUUUUGAGACAGAGUCUCAGUCUGUCAUCAAGGCUAGAGUGCAGCGGCACAAUCUCGGCUCACUGCACCCUCUGCCUCCCAGGUCCAAAUGAUUCUUGUGCCUUAGCCUCCCAAGUAGCUGGGAUUACAAGCAUGUGCCACCACACCUGGCUAAUUUUUGUAUUUUUUUUUUGUAGAGACGGGGUUUCGCCAUGUUGGUCAGGCUGGUCUCAAACUCCUGGCCUCAAGGAUUAGCACAGUUUUUAAUGCCACUUCCUUUCCUCCAGUCUGCUCACUGGCCUCAGAAGUGAGCAUGAGUGACCUGUGUGUAGCACAGGGGCUGCCAAACAGCCCCGACUGACACGGGCUCAGAACUUCACCAGCUUAAUGAAUGAGGCAUUCAAUCAUCGCAACUACUCUAUGAGGAAGACACUACCAUGACGACCAUUUUACAGAUGGGGAGACCGAGGCCAGGGUAGUUAAAUGACUUGUUCAGGGUCAUGCACCUCCUAGUGGCAGAGCUGGAGUCAAACCUAGGCAGCCUGGCUCUUCAACCUGUGCACUGCCUUUCAUUAGAUGAGUACAAGGGCAGAGUUGAGAGACCUGUAAGGAAGCCAUGGUCAACUGUUAACCUCAAAUCAAAGUGGCCGUCUAAGGGAAAAUCCCAAACUGCAUGUGAAAUCAUGGCAGUGAUGCUCUCUCUCUGGCUGGUAUAGUCAAUAGCUGCCUCGCUCCACUGGGGACUUCUUGGAGGUUCACCUUCCUCCCUUCCCUGCCCUCUAAUGGGUAGACAUGUGACUGCACGGAACAGCAGCAGCAGGGAGGGCAGAAAGCAUAGGCAGAGCUCACACAAGCUGGAAACUGUGUGUUCUUAAAAAUGUACUCAGUUAUUUUCUCUGGUGUGGAGAGCAGUAAAUUAUGUGGUUUGGAAGCUACUACUACACUACUAUUUCCUGAAAGAGCUUUCUAGCACGGCCUGUCACAGACACAAAUUUACAAGUAUG
rnacentral:lncRNA from 1 species